CACCGCCCGUCACGUCAUGGAAGCUGGCAACACCUGAAGUCCAUGGGCUAACCCGCAAGGGAGGCAGUGGCCGAGGGUGGGGCUGGUGACUGGGACG
rnacentral:rRNA from 1 species